rnacentral:lncRNA from 1 species
UCCUUGUCUUUGGGUUAAUGAUCAGGCGCCCCAGUCAACAAGCAAAGGUGGGGGCCUGCAAGGUAAGGUUGUGGGGGGUCCAGUUUCUGGGUCGAGGGGGAUCUCUGCUCCUCUCUUCCGGUGCCCCCCAGCAAGGGGUGCAGGGAGAUGAAGUCCUGGGCUCCAGAUGAGAACCGGGACUUGGCAGGAAUUAUCAGCCACGAGGGGCCGGCUCCUGUCGGGCUUGAUUUCCUUUUGCUGUUGUUUAGUUUUCCUAUUUAAUACAGGCUCCCUCCAUAACCUCAGUGAGGGGGCGCUCGGGGCGCGGUGCUGGGAGGGGACAGCCCCCGUGUCGCUGCACACAGGCCCCAGAGGCUCAGCAGGAAUGAGCGCCGCACCUCCGGUUAAAAAAAGCCACAAAAAAGCCACAGUCCCGUCCUGGCCAGCGUUUCCCAAGCCUCGCGGCAAGAGUUGUCAUUGGAGGAGGUUGUUCAUUGUCUGGGUUCCGUCACUGAUAAGGGCUCACAGGGGACACAGGGCUCACAGGGGACAUUGUCCCAGCACAGGGGAGUCCGGGGGGGACAAGGGGAGACAGGGAAGGAGGACCCCAGGCCACUGCUGGCGGUCUAGGCAAGGUCCACCCGGACGACCAAGUCCACGGCAGGAAGAACACGGUCAGUUCUCCUUGUUGGUGGGGUGUCGGGGGGCACAGAACUUGUCUCCACGGAGCCUUCUGGUCCACAUUCAAGUCAACACCGAGCCCACGAGACGACAGACCUUUGCCAGCCCGGCCGUCACCCUCUCGCUUUAUUCCAGUUCUUGGCACAGCAUUGACUGCUGUCCACUGCUGACUCACCCAUUCACUCAGGCAUCCAUUCGUUUCUUUCCCGUCAGUGCCUGCAUCUCCACCUUUGUGUUGACCCUGCUUUUUCUCCCUUCCCCUAAGUGCUCAGGUUAUAGCUUUGAACACAACAUAACUGGUUCAGGGGAAGUAUUCUAUGAGAGUACUAGGCUCACAGAUUACACACACGAGUUCCUCCUUGGCCACACUGUUAUGUACAUAAACAUAAACACAUAAAGCAGAAAUAUAGCUCCCUUCUCCUCAAAUCCAGCAGCACUUUAUUGUUGUCCAGUCACUAAGUUGUGUUUGACACUUUGCGACCCCACAGACCGCAGCACACCAGGCUCCUCUGUCCUCCACCAUCUCCUGGAAUUUGCUUUAAUUCAUUUCCGUUGAGUGGGUAAUGCUAUCUAACCAUCACAUCCUCUGCCGCCCCCUUUUCAUUUUG